AAACGAUAACUAUGGAAAUACUGGAUAGCGUCUGCAAUCAAGAAUGAAAAAUAAUAACUAGAAAUGAAUUCAACUAACUGAUUAAAAAAAAGGAGCCUACAGCACCCCGGAUUCCCAUGUUGUCUCCAACCAUAGUACUAACGAGGCCCUCAGACGCUUAACUGCAGUGAUCGGACGGGAACUGGUGUUUUCACCUAGGUAUGGCCGUA